rnacentral:rRNA from 1 species
UACGGAGGGGGCUAGCGUUGUUCGGAAUUACUGGGCGUAAAGCGCGCGUAGGCGGCUUUGUAAGUUAGAGGUGAAAGGCCGGAGCUCAACUCCGGAACUGCCUUUAAGACUGCAUCGCUAGAACGUCGGAGAGGUAAGUGGAAUUCCGAGUGUAGAGGUGAAAUUCGUAGAUAUUCGGAAGAACACCAGUGGCGAAGGCGACUUACUGGACGACUGUUGACGCUGAGGUGCGAAAGCGUGGGGAGCAAACAGG